rnacentral:rRNA from 1 species
GACGAAGGGGGCUAGCGUUGUUCGGAAUUACUGGGCGUAAAGCGAGUGUAGGUGGUUGUCCAAGUUGGAUGUGAAAGCCUUGAGCUCAACUCAAGAAAUGCAUUCAGGACUGGGCGGCUAGAGGACCGGAGAGGAUAGUGGAAUUCCCAGUGUAGUGGUGAAAAUACGUAGAGAUUGGGAAGAACACCAGUGGCGAAGGCGGCUAUCUGGACGGUUUCUGACACUAAGACUCGAAAGCGUGGGGAGCAAAACAGG